GACGGAGGAUGCAAGUGUUAUCCGGAAUCACUGGGCGUAAAGCGUCUGUAGGUGGUUUAAUAAGUCAACUGUUAAAUCUUGAGGCUCAACCUCAAAAUCGCAGUCGAAACUAUUAGGCUAGAGUUCGGUAGGGGAGACUGGAAUUCCUGGUGUAGCGGUGAAAUGCGCAGAUAUCAGGAGGAACACCGGUGGCGAAGGCGGGUCUCUGGGCCGAUACUGACGCUGAGGAGCGAAAGCGUGGGGAGCGAACAGG
rnacentral:rRNA from 1 species